AUAUUAUAAUUGCUGAAUACUCGAAAAUUGAUAUCGAGUGUCAAGAUUGGUUCAUUUGAAUAGGAAGAUCUGAUGC